rnacentral:rRNA from 1 species
CCCUUAGAUGUUCUGGGCUGCACGCGCGCUACACUGACGCACGCAACAGGUGCCUGCUCCGAGAGGACUGGGUAAUCAUUUGAGUGUGCGUCGUGAUGGGGAUAGAAUAUUGUAAUUAUUACUCUUCAACGAGGAAUUCCUAGUAAGCGCCAGUCAGCAGCUUGCGCUGAUUACGUCCCUGCCCUUUGUACACACCGUCCGUCGCUCCUACCGAUGGGUGAUCCGGUGAAUGAUUCGGACUUCAGCGGCUCCCCUGGGGUGCGCCGGAGAAAGUUUUGUGAACCUUAUCACUUGGAGGAAGGAGAAGUCGUAACA